rnacentral:SRP_RNA from 1 species
GCCGGGCGUGGUGGCUCACACCUGUAAUCCCAGCACUUUGGGAGGCUGAGGCGGGUGGAUCACUUGAGGCCAGGAGUUCAAGACCUGCCUGGCCAACAAGGUGAAACCCUGUCUCUA